rnacentral:miRNA from 1 species
UAAACACUGAAAACUAUUGGCA